rnacentral:lncRNA from 1 species
GCAAGUUCGGAUUCUACGAGUUUUUCAAGAAGUACUACUCAGACAUUGCUGGCCCCGAGUAUGCAGUCAAGUACAAAACAUUGAUCUACCUUGCAAGUUCUGCAUCAGCUGAAGUCAUUGCCGAUGUUGCCCUCUGUCCUAUGGAAGCCGUCAAAGUUCGUGUCCAAACUCAGCCCGGUUUUGCCAGAGGCUUGGCUGAUGGCCUUCCGAAGAUCAUCAAAUCCGAAGGCGCUCUUGGGUAUGAACUGAAAUCGAAACACUUGAUGGAGGAAUAUUGUGUGGGAAAAUUUUUGGUAUGAUGUUGCUAAUGAGUUUUCAUUAUGUUGUAGGUUGUAUAAAGGGAUGGUUCCGCUUUGGGGACGUCAGGUUCCUUGUGAGUUGAAGCCUUUCCGUCCAUUUUUAUUCUGAUUCAUGACUUCCCUUUUGUUUACUAAUACGUAUAUAGAAAUGGUCAUGAUCUCCACAGAUACUAUGAUGAAAUUUGCAUCUUUUGAGACUACUAUCGAGCUCAUGUACAAGCAUGUAAUCUCAACACCUAAAGAGCAAUGCAGCACACCCUUGCAGCUAGGUGUGAGCUUUGUUAGUAGGUAUAUUGCUAGUGUGUUCUGUGCUGUUGUCUCACACCCAGCUAACAACUUGGUCUCCUUCCUCAACAACGCAAGGGGAGCAAUCGUUGGCGAUGUGAGUGUUCAUGUAUUCUUGGCUUCCUCUGCGUUUACUAACACGUACGUGAUCGUUAGUUUUUAAUUUCAUUGUGAUUGAUGUCUUGCAGGCUGUGAAGAAUCUGGGACUAUUAGGUAUUUUCACCCGAGGCCUUCCUCUGCGUAUCUUCAUGAUCGGAACCCUAACCGGAGGUCAAUAGGUUAUAUAUGAUGCGUUCAAAGUUCUUUUAGGGCUGUAAGUUCUCUGCUCUAUCCGUCAUCUUUCGUUUUGUUCUUCCAAAAAUGCUCUCCUUUUUUGGCUAAUGAAAUGUGACAUGGUGUGGUCAAUUGCAUUUUUCAGGCCGACUACUGGUGGUCCUGCCGCCACCACCGAGGUUGCCAAGGCUUGAAUCCAUACCGGAUAGCUAACAACCCCGUUUCUUAGCUUUGGGAAGUUUUUCAAAGUUACGAGUUGAUUCAGUUUAGGGUGUCAUUGAUCCUGCAUUAAUAUUUUCUACAUGACCAUAUUCUAUACGGUAAUUUUGUAUAUAUAAUUCACGUUAUACUGCUCGAUUUGAUAAAAAGGGAGAUUUCGGGGGGUCAAUUUCCCCAUGGAUGAACAUGUAACAUAGAAAUAAAAGUUACCUUGAAUUGAGGCAACAUCUUGGUAUUCAAUAACUGUUUAAUCGUCGACGGUCAGAUGAAUGAACUGCCAAGAGCUCGUAUGAGAAGGGAACAAAAGGAAAUAAACGAUGUCCACAUUUUACUAUCAUAAGAUUAUCGAAAAUGUGUUCUCACAUGUGUUCAUGUUUGCGAAUUAUCACGAUUUAGGCUUAAGAGGAUAUAUGGUAUCAAACACAACUCUAGCGAAAAUAUGCCGAACUUCCGGCAGGGCUCCCUGAGCUAAUGACUCGUAAUCAAUCUUGCUGCCCUGCUUCGGGAUGAAUCCCCUCUCUGCGCCCGACAUUAAGCAGCUAAAAAUCCGGCAGACUCUCAAAGAUAACCCCGCGGGAUAAGUACCUGCGAUUUGAGAUUAAAUCAAAUAAGGCGUGCCCUUUGCAGUUUCUCAGUAAAUGAGAAGAAGAGUUACUAUAUCAGCAUGCAACUUCAUCAGGAUAAGAAAAAUAAUAGGAAGCCCUUACCAGAUCCGAAUAUGGUGCUUGUGGGUAACCUGCCAUUGCCUGAGAGACUAUUUGCUCAUCAGUCAUAUUAUUGAGGGCAUGCGUGAUGCUGCGAGAUUUUUAACUUCAUCUUUCAAUGCUCGAGGGUUCAAAUUCUGACUUUCUAAUAAUUCGUGGAAGCCAACAGCAUGUACUUUAGUGACUCUCUUGGCUAUGCUUACUGCUUCUAACAUAUCUCCAUCAUUGUGAAUUGCAAGGCUAAGAACAGCAACCACCAACGGAUCCCAAGGUUGUUCGAAUAGUGCAUUGUGGAAUGCUAAGAUCGCAACCCUGGAAGUGUAAACCUGUGCUGAGUCUCAUUUGGUCCAAAUUGUAAUGAGCUUGAAAGAAUAUCCUAAAAUGUCUAAUAUACAAUGAGAAUAUGCAAUUUAAUAUGCUUAGACCACUCAGACCCAAAAGAAAAAGGAGCAAACAAAUUACGAAGUGUUGAUGCACAAAAUCAGUGAGGACUUUGGUACAACAGAAAGUGUUAAGUUUGUGACCUUCAAUAGAUUGCUCCGGUCACUAGUAUGGAUAAGUAUGUAAAUUGAAAGAGAUAGGGAAGCAAACACAAGAUGUACGUGGUUCAACCAGAUCGGCUAUGUCCACGGAGUAGAGGAGUUCUCAUUAGUUGUGAAGGGUUUACACAAGUACAUAGGUUCAAGCUCUCCUUUAGUGAGUACAAGUGAAUGAUUUAGUACAAAUGACAUUAGGAAAUAUUGUGAGAGAAUGAUCUCUAUUUAUAGAAGAGAGUUUCUAGUUUCAUUCUGAUAUUAACACGUGUCGUGUUGUGAUUGGCUUCUGAUGUUGACACGUGUCACGCUGUGAUUAGCUUAUGAUGUCAACACAUGUCCCGUGAUUGGCCUCUUGGUUGGAGGGAAACUCUUCUGGGUCAUUGACAGUAUAACGUUGACCAGUGCUCAAUAGUUUCGGGAUUGGUCAAGUAUGGUACAAACAGUGUUCCCCUAAGUUCCCGAGUGAGGGAAGCUCCUCGGUUGGGGACUUACAAGAUCCAAGCCAUUGAGUAAUCACGAAACUUCUAAGUACCGAAGUGUGGUAUCAUUUUCACUUGCCUUAUCUGUCUCAUAUGUAGAUGUGGCAUCUUCUCUAGAAGUACUUUUCCUCCAUCCAGGGGUGGUAUCUUUAAUCGAUAAAGAUGCACAAGGUAAUGUAUCAAUUUCACUUGAAGCUUACUUGUAGUUUCGGGCUUGGUCAAGUGCAAUACAAAACCUUAUAGUAGGAGUCCCCUAAGUCGCCGAGCUAGGAGAUUUGCUGAAAGAGGUAACAGACAAGGUAAGCAAUCAGACUUCCAAGCAAACAACCUGGAUCGGAGGUUCGACUUCGGCUUCCGGUUGAUUGUUCUCCUUCUCCUUGUGUCAUAAACAGCAACAAGGAUAAGGAGAAGCAAAUGAAGAAGAGAUGAUAUGAGAUACUUUUGCUUUUGAAGAAGUAACUUUCCACAGGCUUAUUCUUGAACUGGGCUGGAGGGUUUUCUGGUUUUCUCAAGAGUAUAAGGCCGACUCAAGAAUUUAAGGGUCAAAACAAGUCCAUCAAAUUAAGAGUGCAUUCAACCUUGAUGAUAUGGGAUAUUUUUGCUGUCGACAAAGUAAUAGAUGAAUCAACACAUGUUCUGUUGCCCUUGUCUCUACAUGCUUCCUUGUAUCCUUUUCACUUGCCCUAUCUGUUCCUCAAGCAGAUGUGGUAUCUUUUCUAGAAGCAUAAGAUGUUGAAGAUAAGUACUCGAGAGCAAUGCCAGGUAAGUAAUCAGGCAAGGGGUUCCAGGCAGUCAGUUCCUGACUGGAAGCUUGAUUCCAAGUGCUGACUGAUUGCUCUCUUUCUCAUUGUCUUGCAGGUAAAAACAAGGGCAAAGGAAAAGACAGGGAAAAAGCAUGAUAUGAGAUACUCUUGCUUUUGACCCUUAUGAUAUGAGAUACUUUUUCUCUGGUGUGGUUGGUUUGCAUAGGUAUUAUUGGGGGGGAAGAAAGCUGAGUAUUUUGAGAGGCUUCGUUGGGAGUGCCCUCUCAUAUAUAAGGAAGGGUUGAAUAUUUUUGCAGGUCUGCCUGUCCGUGGAGGAUGGAGGUCGACAUAUAUAGGAGUCUCCUUAACAAUAAGUAGUAAAGUAGUGGGAGCUGCAAGCUUCACGUGUUUUAACUUGGUCAGAGCACUUUGAAAAAGUGGUAUGUGGUAUCUAGAAAGCUGAUGUUGUGUGUGAAGAUUGUAGACAAGCUUUAUCCAAGGAAAUCUGGCUCUCGAAGUUCGGAGAGCGAUGCCUCUUCGGUUUUCAAACAAGCAAUCCUGUCGGGGAUCUGGCUCUCUAGAUUCGGAGAACGGUGCCUCUUCGAUUUUUGAGAAAGCAAUCAUGUUGGGAGUCUGGCUCUUGAGAUUCGGAGAGCGAUGCCUUUUCAAUUUUUGAGAAAGUAAUCCUGUUGGGAGUCUGGCUCUCGAGAUUUGGAUGGCAGUGCCUCUUCGAUUUUUGAGCAAGUAAUAAUGUUAUUCCUUUACCCUUCUUGGUCAUAGCAAUGUAGUAGGAGCUGUAAGCUUCACAUGUUUUAACUUUGUCAGAGCGCGUUGAAAAAGUGGUCUGUGGUAUCUGGAAAGCUGAUGUUGCAUGUGAAGAUUGCAGACAAGCUUUAUCCAAGGAAAUCUGGCUCUCGAAGUUCGGAGAGCGGUGCCUCUUCUGUUUUCGAACAAGCAAUCCUGUCGAGGAUCUGGCUCUCGAGAUUCAGAGAACGGUGCCUCUUUGAUUUUUGAGAAAGCAAUCAUGUUGGGAGUCUGCCCUCGAGAUUCGGAGAGUGGUUCCUCUUCGAAUUUUGAGCAAGCAAUCUUGUUAAGAGUGUUUUCUUGAAUGUGAGUAAAGGUUAGGCAUUUUUGCCAGUCUGCCUUUCCACGGAGCACAAAGGUUGACACACAUUGGGACUUUCUAGUUAUCAAGCAGUGGUACUGUUCAUUUACCCUUGUGGGUAAUAGUAGGGUAGCUAGACCUUCAAAAUUUAUGUGUCUAAACUUUGUCAGAGAUCUUUGGCAAAGUUAUAUGUGGUACCCGAGGAGCUGAUGUUGCGUGUGGAAAGUGGUGCCUCUUUGAAAUCCGGAGAGUGGUGCCUCUUCGAUAUUUGAAUCAACGGCCUUAUUACCCUUUCUUUUAUAAGGGCACCAAUUGUGUGCAAGGAGUACAUUCAGAGAGUUAUUGCUUGUAGGAAUUUUCCCCUUACUUCAGAGAUUUAUUGCACCUCAUUUCUCCUUCAUCAUUUUUGAGAAUGUCUGGCCCAUCCGACUGUCAUUUUGACUUGAACUUUGGUGAAGAGGCAACCAUGCCUUCUCAAGACAACAUAUGGCACCCAUCCUUCUUUUCCCCUACUGGUCCUCUUACCGUUGGGGACUCUGUGAUGAAGAAUGAUAUGACAGCUGCAGUGGUGGCCAUGAACCUUCUCACUCCCUAAGAUAACAGACUACUUUCCAAACGGUCUGAUGAGUUGGCUGUUAAGGAUUCUUUGGCUCUCAGUGUUCAGUGUGCAGGUUCUGUGUCUAAUAUGGCCCAACGCCUAUUUGCUCGAACCCGCCAAGUUGAAUCAUUGGCGGCUGAAGUGAUAAGUCUCAAACAGGAGAUCAGAAGGCUCAAGCAUGAGAAUAAACAGUCGCACAGGCUCGCACAUGACUAUGCUACAAACAUGAAGAGGAAGCUCGACCAGCUGCAGGAAUCUAAUAGUCAGAUUUUACUUGAUCAUCAGAGGUUUGUGGGUUUUUUCAAAAGGCAUUUAUUGCCUUCGUCUUCUGGGGCUAUACCGCGUAAUGAAGCUCCAAAUGAUCAACCUUCGGUGCUUCCUCCUUCUAGGGUUCUGCCUAGUACUGAGGUUCCGAAUAAUCACCUAUGGUGCCUCAUCUUUCUGGGGCUCUACCAACUGCUGAGACUUCUCCUGAGCAACCUUUGUGAAGGCUCCCUCUUGUUUGUUUAUUUUGAUUCAUGUAUAUGUACAUAUUUGUAACUUAUCGGAGAUAUCAAUAAACAAGAUUUGCUUCAUUUCAACGUAUUGUGUUAAAUACACCAAGGUCUUUUUCACUAAGUUCUUUGAAUUUUUCCUUUUGUUGAAGCUUUGUGAGUGAAGCAUGUAGGUUGAAGUAGUGCUCCCUUAAUUUCCCGAGUGAGGAAAACUUCUCAUUUGGAGACUUAAAAAAUCCAAGUCACUGAGUGGUCAUGAGACUUCCGAGUAUCAAGGUACAGUAACAUAUGGUAGGAGUCCCUCCGUCUCCGGUCGAGGGAGUUAACGAAUGAGGCCUUUCCUUUCUAAGUGGUAGCCCAAAACUCUUUCUUCAUAAAUAUUUGUUAUGAAAGUUGUUAGGCCCAAAGAAGAGGAGGCCUAGGCAUUUUUUUUUUCGAAAUUUUUUUUUUCGAAUUUUCGAAUUUUUGAAUUUUUGAAUUUUUAAAUAUAUAUAUAUAUAUAUAUAUAUAUUUUUUUUUUUUUUAAAGCUUUGUAGAUGAAGCUUUGGUGUUGAAGCUUUGUAGGUGAAGCUUUGAGGUUGAAGCUUUGUUGGGCACCAUGAAUUAAUUUUGCUUAACACUAUCUUGAUCAAGAUAGUGUGAAGCUUUUGUGUUGAAGCUUUGUAGGUGAAGCUUUUGUGGAUCAAGCUUUUGUGGGUCAAGCUUUUGUAGGUCAAGCUUUUGUAGGUGAAGCUUUUGUCGGUGAAGCUUUUGUGGAUGAAGCUUUUGUAGGUCAAGCUUUUGUAGGUCAAGCUUUUGUGGGUCAAGCUUUUAUGGGUCAAGCUUUUGUGGGUGGGUCAAGCUUUUGUGGGUGAAGCUUUUGUAGGUGAAGCUUUUGUGGGUGAAGCUUUUGUGGGUGAAGCUUUUGUGGGUGAAGCUUUUGUGUUGAAGCUUUUGUAGGUGAAGCUUUGGAGUUGAAGUUUUGUAGGUGGAGCUUUGGAGUUGAAGCUUUUGUGGGUGAAGCUUUUGUAGGUGAAGCUUUUGUGGGUAAAGCUUUUGUGGGUGAAGCUUUUGUGUUGAAGCUUUUGUAGGUGAAGCUUUGGAGUUGAAGCUUUGUAGGUGGAGCUUUGGAGUUGAAGCUUUUUUUGGGUACCAUGAAUUGAUUUUGCUUCAAACUAUCUUGAUCAAGAUAGUGUGAAGCUUUUGAGAAUUUGUAGCUGUCCUCCAUUGAUGAAGCUUUUGUUGGUGAAGAUUUGUAGGUGAAGCUUUGGAGUUGAAGCUUUUGUUGGGUACCAUGAAUUGAUUUUGCUUCACACUAUCUUGAUCAAGAUAGUGUAAAGCUUUUGAGAAUUUGUUGUUGGGUACCAUGAAUUGAUUUUGCUUCAGACUAUCUUGAUCAAGAUAGUGUGAAGCUUUUGAGAAUUUGUUGUUAUCCUCUAUUGAUGAAGCUUUUGUUGGUGAAGCUUUGGAGUUGAAGCUUUGUAGGUGAAGCUUUGGAGUUGAAGCUUUUGUUAGGUACCAUGAAUUGAUUUUGCUUCACACUAUCUUGAUCAAGAUAGUGUGAAACUUUUGAGAAUUUGUUGUUGUCCUCCACUGAUGAAGCUUUUGUUGGUGAAGCUUUGGAGUUGAAGCUUUUGUUGGGUACCAUGAAUUGAUUUUGCUUCACACUAUCUUGAUCAAGAUAGUGUGAAGCUUUUGAGAAUUUGUAGUUGUCCUCCAUUGAUGAAGCUUUGUUGAAUUUCCCUUUUUUUUUUUUGGGAAACUAGAAAUUUUAAAAUGUGGGAGAGACAACAUAUACAAAUUUUGCUUCCACACUGUUGAGCAAGAGAUUGUGAUGCAAGCCACACCUUGUAGUAGUCGAAGGUUUGGAUGAACCAUAUAAAUUGAAUUUGCUUCGAAGGUCUGAGAAUUGUAGUUGCCCUCCGUUGAUGAAGCUUUUGUUGGCACCAUAAAUUGGUUUUGCUUCACACUGUCUUGAUCAAGAGUGUGUGAAGCUUUUGAGAAUUGUGGUUGAACUCCUUUGAUGAAGCUUUUGUUGGCACCAUAAAUUGGUUUUGCUUCACACUGUCUUAAUCAAGAGUGUGUGAAGCUUUCUACGAGUUGUAGUGUUUGCAUUAUUACAGAGGGGAUAUGUUUGAAGCAGAUGCAAGAGAGCUGAAUAGCUUGAUCUUCAUAUUCCAUGCACUGAAGUUGAUGUUGGCUUACAAUAAGACUUUGUUGGUGAUUAUAACUCUUGUUGGGCAUAAGUGAUCCCCUAGUUGAGUUGUCAAGCCUGAGGGUUUUUGAUUAUUUGUGAAUGCUAGGAGUUCACAUGUACAAGUUGUACCACUCGUCUUUUGGUAGGUGGAAUGAAUGGUGAGUUUCUUUCAUCACUUGGUUGGUGGUACGAAAGUGAGUUCAUUCUUUCCCUGGUUGGUGGCAUGAAUGGCAAGUUGCUAAAUGAUAUUAGAGUACGAGUUGUACAUUAAAUCACCUGGUUGGUGGCAUGAAGGAGAGUACAAGUUGUACAUUUCAUCACCUGGUUGGUGGCAUGAAGAUGAGUUCCUUCUUCACCUGGUUGGUGGCAUGAGUGGUAAGUUGCCAAAUGAUAUUAGAGUACGGGUUGUACAUUUUAUCACCUAGUUGGUGGCAUGAAGGAGAGUACGGGUUGUACAUUUCAUCACCUGGUUGGUGGCAUAAAGAUGAGUUCCCUCUUCACCUGGUUGGUAGCAUGAGUGGCAAGUUGCCAAAUGAUAUUAAAGUACGGGUUGUACAUUUCAUCACCUGGUUGGUGGCAUGAAGGAGAGUACGGGUUAUACAUUUCAUCACCUGGUUGGUGGCAUGAAGAUGAGUUCCUUCUUCACAUUUCAUCACCUGGUUGGUGAGAAUAAGGGUAAGGUGUCUAGGCGCAUUGUAGCAAGUGUCGAACGACACAAAAUAUGUUGAACCCUUUCAAAGCAUAGUUGGCUUAUGUAUGAAUGUGUUGGAAUGUAUGAUUGAACGAAUAUACUGUGAAGCUGUUCGUUUAUUUGUAUAGUCUUGUUGACAUAUACUUAGACUUUGUUUCAUGUUGCAAGCAUUCAUGUUGAAGCUUUGAACCCGAGUGUUUCAUUGCUAUGAAUGUAAGAGGAUUAAGAUCAAGUUGUCUAAAUCACCUCUUUAUUGAAUUCAUGCCAAAUAGUCUUCGUUACAUAGGAUGCCGACCCGGCUGAAACUUAACACUUGUACAAUGUGAGUUUACUUGUAAUAGUACUUCAAGUGAUCAACGUUCCAUGGAUGACCAAGGGUCUUGCCAUCGGAGCUUCUAAGCUUGUAGGAGCUAGGGCGACUGAUGCCAACAACUUCAAACAAUCCAUCCCAGUUUGGACUAAGUGUUCCUUCACUCGGGACUCUAUCGCAAAGUAAUCUUUUCUUCAACACCCAGUCCCCCACUUUGAAAGAACGAGGUUUGACCCUUGAGUCAUAGUAGUUGGAGAUGCGCUGCUUGUAGGCGACAUUCCUCAAGUGAGCCUGGUUUCUGUGUUCCUCGACUAGAUCUAAGUUGAGGGUAAGUUAUUUUUCAUUUUCACUUUGCACAUAGUUCUGGACUCGGAACGUUGCUUGCUCAAGCUUAACUGGGACAACUGUCUCUGUACUAAAGGCAAGUGAGAAUGGGGCUUCUCCUGUUGAUGUCUGAUACGAAGUGCGAUAUGACCAAAGAACUUGGGGUACAAAUUCUGGCCAACAACCUUUAGCCUUGUCCAAGCUAGUUUUCAAAGUUCGCCUGAUUAUUUUGUUGAUGGCUUCAACUUGUCCAUUAGACUAGGGAUGAACUAGGGAGGAAAAACAUAAGUUGAUGUUGAACUUAGAACAUAAUAUCCUGAACUUAUUGUUGUCGAACUGUCACCCGUUGUCAGUAACUAUCACAUUGGGAAUGCCGAAUCUGCAAAGGAUGUUCUUCCAUACGAAGUCUUCUAUUUUUGCCUCAGUAAUGGUUGCUAAGGGUUCUACUUCGGCCCACUUUGUGAAGUAGUCAACUGCAACGAUUGCAUAGCGAACCUUGCCCUUCCCUGCAGGCAUUGGGCUGAUCAAAUCAAGUCCCCAUUGGGCGAAGGGCCAAGGGCUGAUCAUAGGAGUAAGCGGCUCGGGAGGGGAGUGAGGAAUAGUUGCGUAGCGUUAACACUUAUCACAUGAGCGAGAUAUUCUGAUGGCAUCUUGGUGAAGUGUUGGCCAGUAAUAUCCUUGGCGAAAAGCCUUGUGUGCUAGGGAUCGAGAUCCAGCAUGAUCUCCGCAGACUCCUUCAUGUAUUUCCCGAAGGACAGUUUCCGCCUUUGCAGGCGUAAGGCAUCUUAGGUAUGGUAGGUUAAAACCCCGCUUGUAGAGUUGGUCAUUAAUGAUCAAGUAACGGGUAGCCUUGUAUCGAAUCUACUUAGCUUGGACUUUGUCAUUUGGAAGGGUGCCAUGAGCAAGAAAUCUAUAAAUCGGGGUAAUCCAACUAUCUCCUUGUUGUAAGUUGCACACUUCCGCAGCCAUGGUGCUUGGUGCUGCCAACAAUUCUACUUGAAUUUUUCUCCCAAUCUUGUCUUCCACCGCUGAGGCGAGGGAAGCCAAAACAUCUGCAUGACUGUUUGCCGCUCAAGGAAUUUGGGUGAUCUGGUAGUGGAAGUGCUUGAGCAACAAUUGUGUUUGUGCCAGAUAUGCUACCAUGGAACUAUCCUUAGCAUCAAAGUUGUUGGUGACCUGGUUAACCACCAAUUGGGAGUCACUGAAGAUAUCAAUUCGUUUAACCCCAAGGUGUUUGGCCAAAAGUAAGCCUAUUAUGAGGGCUUCAUAUUCGGCCUCAUUGUUCGACGCCUUGAAUUUGAAACGAAAAGCAUACUCUAUCGCCACUUUGUCAGGGGUCGUAAGGACUAGUCCUACUCCACAACCCUGUUGGUUGGACGAGCCAUCAACAUAUAGACUCCAUGUUGGGGCUGUUGGUUCUAUUUUCUGAGCUUCCGAGGGUAAUAAAACUACUUCUUUAGGCGUAGAAACAAUGUCAACAGGAUAUGUGAAGUCGGCGAUGAAGUCUGCCACUGCUUGGCCUUUCUCAGCUGGCUUUGAUUGGUAGGAGAUGUCAAACUCACCCAAUGCUAUCGCCCAUUUGAUCAUUCGCCUAGAAGUGUCAGGACUUUGGAGUAUCUGUUGAAGAUGAUGAUUGGUAAGCACGAUGAUAGAGUGUGCUUGGAAGUAAGGGCGAAGUUUUGGAGUAGACAUGACCAAUGCUAGAGCCAAUUUCUCAAUGUUGGAGUAUCGUGUAUCCGCAUCUUAUAAGGCUUUACUAGCGUAAUAGACAGACCGUUCAACAUUACCAUCAUUUCGACAGAUAGAUAAUGAGAGUGUCACCAACCUCAGGUUUGGAGAGCAAAACGGCUUUACUCAUGUAGUCUUUGAGGUUCUUGAAUGCCUCAGCACAUUCACCAGUCCAUGUAAUGUACUUCUUACUUCCCUUAAGUGCUUUGAAGAAAGGAGCACAUCUGUCGGUGGCCUUAAAGAUGAACCUAGUUAAGGCUGCCACCUUGCCAGUAAAGCUCUAGAUGUCUUUUGAAGUUACCGAUUUCUUCAUGUCCAGGAUUGCUUUGAUCUUCUAGGGAUUAGCCUCAAUGCCUCGUUGGCUUAUUAUGAAGCCUAAGAAUUUGCCAAAGCCUACGCCGAAUUUGUUGGGGUUCAACCUCAUUCGAUACCUCUUCAGAAUGGUGAAAGUUUGAGAUAGGUUGGUGAUGUGUUGGUCAUCAUGUUUGCUCUUAACUAGCAUAUCAUCAACGUAAACUUCCAUACUCUUCCCAAUUUGUUCGGCGAACAUUGAAUUGACCAGUCUCUGAUAAGUCGCUCAUGCAUUCUUUAGGCCGAAGGGCAUGACUUUAUAGCAAUAUAGUCCCCUGUCAGUAGUGAAGGCUGUGUGUUCUUGGUCCAGAUGGUUCAUGAGGAUUUGGUUGUAUCCUGAGUAAGCAUCCAUGAAACUUAGGAGUUCACACCCUGUCGUAGAGUCUUUAAGUCUGUCUAUGAGAGGAAGAGAAAAGCUAUCCUUCGGGCAUCCUUUGUUUAUGUCGGUGUAAUCGACACACAUUCUCCACAAGACCUUUUGGAGCAGGAGACUUUCCUUGGUCGGAUUCUUCUUAACAAGGACAACAUUUGCUACCCACGUUGGAUAAUUGACUUCACAGACGAAGCCAAUGCCUUUGAGUUUUUCAACUUCUGCCUUUAUUGCCUUUUACCGUUCAGCGUCAUAAGAUCUUCGCUUCUGUCUCACUAGCUUGGUCUUGGGGUCAAUACUUAAGCAAUGGUAAAUUAUAUCGGAAGAGAUGCCUGACAUGCCCUCAUAUAACCAGGCAAAGACCUCAGUGUUCUAUUGUAAAAAAGAGAUCAAUGCUAACCGAAUAGGUGGUGACAAGGUGGUACCAAUAUUCACCAUGCGAUUCGGAUAAUCUUUUGCGAUAGAGACCUUCUUUAACUCUUCAGCGAGUUGUGCUUGCUGGGUGAAAGAGUCAUCUCAAGGAUCGUCGGGCUGACUGUUGCCACCGUGAAGAUCCAAGUUGGCUUCGUCUGAGCUGCUCUUUAUGACUUGGUUAUGUAUAGAAAGGGUUUCCUUGGGCACAGACAGGUGUUGUUGCUUGACCGAAGUGUUGUAACAUGAUCGUGCACUAAGUUGAUCUCCUCUGAUGUAACCAUUGCCAUAGGGGGUUGGAAAUUUCAUCAACAACAUAUGUGUGGAUACCAUAGCCUUGAGAUCAUUGAUGCCUGCGCGUCCGAAGAUGACAUUGAAUGUCGUUAGGCAAUCAACCACCAGGAAGUUAGUGGUAAUGGUAGUUGUGUAAGGACUUGUACCAAUGGUGAAAGGUAAGUACAUGCUCCCCAAAGGUUGCACGAUAUCACCGGAGAAGCUUAUCAGAGGGGAAAUCGAGCGGUCGAGCAAGUGUUCAGCUACAUUAAGUGCCCUGAAAGCUUCAACAAACAUGAUAUUGACCGAAGCCCCCGUGUCUACCAGGAUUCGUCGUACUUCAAAGUUGGCUAUGUGAGCUUCCACGAUCAGUGGGUCGUUGUGAGGGUAGAUAAUACCUCUUUCUUCCUCAGGGUAGAAACAUAUUGGAUCACAGUUAGGCUUUUGAUACUUACCUCCCCUGAUGUCUUCCACGUGAAACACUUGGUGGCCAGACCUUAAAGCUCGUUCACUAUUUUUCAUGGCCCUGUUGGAAGAUUUAGAUAUGGGUGUGCCACCACUUAUGGAAUAUAUCACAUUUACCUGGCGUUGGUUACGGUUACCCCUUAGAGGGUGAAUGAGGAAUUGAUCAAUUUUUCCUUCACGUGCCAAAGCUUCAAUAUGAUCACGAAGGGUGAUACACUUCUUACCGUCAUGGCCGUUAUGUUCGUGGUAGCAGCAAAACGUGCCCAUGUGCUUCGUGGGCUUGUAAUCCGGGUGCCUCGGCUUUGGCUUCGGUAUCAAGUGUGCUAUGUUGAGGUAAAUGGCCACGCAUAUGCCGUUUAAAGGUGUGUAUGCCUCAUACCUCAGGGUAGGGGCUGUCCUGACACGUGCUUGACCCACUGUGUUGAUUGCCUGGGGUCGGGGAUUAUCAUGGCGAUACCCUUGGUUAUCGCGGUAGUGUCUCUUACUUCUUUUACUAAAAUGAGACUAGUGAGGAUGUAAACCUUUCCUUUUACCUUGAGAUUGAUAUGUAUAGUUGACUUGGCAAAGUAUUAAGUAAGGCAGGGGGAGGCACCGCUGCCAUUUGGAAGGUCGAAGUCUUCUCAUUUGGUUGGAUCUGGCUUCCAUUCCCUACUUGCUGAUAAUGGGUGGUUGUGGGGGGUUUCCCUUGAUAUGUCCUUGCCUCGGCGGAGGCAUGGUUGUAAGCUUGUGUCAUCACCUCAGAGUAAGUCUUCCAAGUGUUGGCAUUGAUCAUGUACUCAAAGAAACAAUCACAUAGGCCUGCCAUGAAGGCCUUGAGGGCGGUAUUGUCAUCUGCCUCAGCGCAGCGAGAAUACUCAUGGCUGAAACGACCAGCAUACUCUCGUAGUGACUCAUCAGGCGUCUGGCGAAUAGUGUACAAGUCAUCUGCAGAAUGCAAGCGAUCGGUCUGGAAUAUGUGUUGAGAGACAAACAGUUUCCUCAGUUCCUCAAAUGAGUCUACUGUCUCAGAUGGAAGACGGCAAUACCAAUUUAGAGCUCUGUCAGAGAGGGUGAAGGGGAAAAGAAGACAUCGUUCUUCGUCGGUGUGCAUCCGAUAUGCCAUGGUGGACUCAAAGAGGUUAAGGUGUUCAAUUGGGUCUUCCCUUCCAGUAUAGAGUUGUAAACCAAACUUUUGUUUUGUCUUCGCUUGAAAGGGGUGUCGAGGAUGCUCCUUGUGAGAGGGCUAGACCUGGGUUGGUUCCAGUCAGGUAUCUCGGCCUAACGUUCGGCCUUCAACUUGUUUACUUUCUCAAUGAACUGUAGGACAAGGGGGUCUGUCAUGUACCACUAGGAUUUUCUUUCGUAAGUCUCCAUUGCCUCUUAGAAGUAGGAAAGUUUGAGCAAGGGCGUGUGAUUUUUCCUUGAACUCGCCGUACUAACUUCUAGGGCGAACCUGUCGGAAUAGCUCAGAGUCCCAUGUACCUUCAUGUUCCUCUAGGACAUGUCGUUCCUUCCCUAGAUUGGCAGCUGGCUUGGGUCGUGGGAAGGGACCGAGUCUUUCAGAAACCCUUGGGUCAUUGAUCUUCGAGUAUAUAUGGAGGGGAUUCUCUCGACGUUGCCUUAGGAAGUCUCGGCAGUCACGAUAAACGGCUUUUGAUCCUUCCAACCCUUCUGCAAUGAGGUGUCUUCCUCCACUUCUCCUGCUUCAGGUCGAAGCAGCUGGGUUGAGAGAAGUCUCAUGUUGAUCAAUGUUUUGAUAAUUAGCUCGCUCCUCAUCAGGGAUACCCAUGUCGAAUGAAGGUGACCCUCCGUGUUGGGGGGCACCCAGAUGAUGGUUGAUGUCUACAGGGGCAACAAGCUCGCGUGUUUGAGUACACAUAGUUUCAUGGAGCGUCUCAAAGAGCUUCUCAUACUGCUCCUGGGGGACCUCAUUCUUCAUUGCUAUCUUGUUGUUUUGAGUUUCUAGCUCAUCGACUUUAGCUUGAAGAGCAACCCUUUUUCAUUCAUUCUUUCGUUGCUUCGCACUAGGUGCAAGAGGGGUGUCAUUAUGUGUGAUGUGGCUUCCUUCGCUCCCCAUGUUGGAGAGGGAUGUCUAGUCAAAAGAGAGUGUACGAAUGGUGGAAACCAGCUUGACAAAGCUGAAGAGAGUGGGAAUAAGUGUCGUUUCCCACAGAUGGCGCCAAAUGUUGAUGCACAAAAUCAGUGAGGACUUUGGUACAACAGAAAGUGUUAAGUUUGUGACAUUUGAUAGAUUGCUCCAGUCACUAGUAUGGAUAAGUAUGUAAAUUGAUAGAGAUAGGGAAGCAAACACAAGAUGUACGUGGUUCACCCAGAUCGGCUACGUCUACGGAGUAGAGGAGUUCUCAUUAAUUGUGAAGGGUUUACACAAGUACAUAGGUUCAAGCUCUCCUUGAGUGAGUACAAGUGAAUGAUUUAGUACAAAUGACAUUAGGAAAUAUUGUGAGAAAAUGAUCUUUAUUUAUAGAAGAGAGUUUCUAGUUUCAUUCUGACAUUGACACAUGUCGUGUUGUGAUUGGCUUCUGAUGUUGACACGUGUCGUGCUAUGAUUGGCUUCUGAUGUCGACACAUGUCGCGUUGUGAUUGGCCUCUUGGUUGGAGGGAAACUCUUCUGGGUCCUUGACUUAUAACGUUGACCGGUGUUCAGUAGUUUCAGGAUUUGUCAAGUAUGGUACAAACACAAAGAACUAGGAUGAAAUGGCUAGAAUAAGGCUCCAUAUAUCUAAUUCCAGGCAGAGCUCAUACCGUGCAAGUAUAAACAAUUAAAUGAUUUCAAUGUUUUAUCUUUCCAAUUUCCUGCUAUUAAUGACAUAUGCAAACAAAUAAGCAUUCUGUUUUUUAGAACAUCUUACCAUAAGCUACUGUGGCAUGGCUUGUCAGGCAAAAGAAAAUUAUCCAAGUUAGAAAAAAGGGACUGCAUGUGGAAAGCCAAAGAAUUAAUGAAAUCAUGCCCUUUAAGGCAACGCCUCUUCAAACUAUAAUCACUCAUGAAUAAGCAUGUAUCAAGUAACUGAAUGAUUAAGCAACGAUAAUUAACAAAAGCAUGUUAGUUCUUUUGUCGCUUCUACGAAAACCAUGGCGAACAAAAUAUGCUGCCUGCAAGAUGAUACCGUAUUAGAACUAACUGUACUGUGUGUGGACAAGUAGAAAGUUUAUCACCAUUAAUGUUCACCACCCUUUUAGAACUAAUGAUACCGUAUUAGAACUAAAUAUGCUCUCCAUCCUCAACUAGUGGUAAUGUUCACCAUCCUUUUUAUCACUAUUAAAUGUGUUUAAAUUUUAAAAUUUGUGUCUAUCCAUUAUACAUAUCUCGAAACUUAAAAUCAUCUAACAAAAAUAAAUAGAAAGGUGGGCAUCAUUAUCACUUGGAGUUGAUGAAUAAAAAUACUCUUAUUAUGUUCCCAUUUUUUUGGGUCAAAAGAAAGAAGAUUCUGUCAUCUUUCUAAGUCUGAAUAUUCUUCUGAUCAUUUGGCAGAAACGAAACUCGUUACGUCCUUGCUUACCGUGAAGGCUGCCUUCUUGAAGUUCUAAAACCAAUAAUUUGACUGUCAGACAAGGCCUUCAACUUUGACUGGGUCAACUUGGUUCUUCCGCAAAUCACAUGUUUUUCGACGCGACGUUUUAAACCUGUCUCUCCAAUUUCCUCUCUCAUUUCUCAGACAGCUCAAAAAUGGCAGAUUCUCUCAGCAACGCUCAUCGCCACUCUCUCGUCCCAAGCUUCUUGUACUCUUCUUCUUCUUCUUCAAUGCGGACGAGAACUGAUGCAUCGCCACCCUCGGUUUCAUCAUCGUCGGCAGUGGCCUUGUUGUCGAAAAGGGUGGUGGUUCCAGCGCCUAAAGAGAAGUUGGAGAUGUACUCGCCGGCGUUCUACGCGGCGUGCGGAGUAGCAGGGAUGUUGAGCACCGGAUCCACUCACACGGCUGUCACGCCUAUCGAUGUCAUCAAGUGUAAUAUGCAGGUGAUCAGCUUCUUCGCUUUUUUUUUUUUUUUUUUUUUUUCCUUUUGGUUUUUGAAAAUCUAUGAGCAAGCAUCCAAUUUUGUAAUGUUCAUUUAUCGAUUCUAUGCGGUAUUCAACACCAACUCAAUUUUCAUUUGGUUUUGGAAUUCAUGAUUUCGUUAACAAUUUGUUUGUUGUUUAACAAGUUUGGGAGCAAACGAGUUUCGUUAACUUGUUUAACAAAGUUUGGGAAUUCAUGAGUUUCGUUAACAACUUGUUUGUUGUUUAACAAGUUUGGGACUAAAUAGUAAGCAAAAUUUUGUUGUUCUUGCGUCAUGUAACUUGACAGUCAUUAAUUAUGAUUUACGAAUAAACAAGGUUUAAAAUGCAUCUAAAAGUAAACAAAAUAAAAUAUUAUAUAACAGUUAAGAGCAUUUCCAAAUGAUAUAUCAAAUUCUAUGUGGAAAUGUCAUUCUACAUAUGUGACAUUAAAAUCCUUCCGACCAAAGUUUUAUUUGCUGACUAGAUUUGAAGUUUUGUGAUUAGGAGUCAACUUUGAAAUCAAUUUCAAAUUUAUUUUUAAUUAAUUUUAAUGAUGGACCCCUUAUUUCACUUGCAUUUCAAUUAUAAAAAUUUUAUUUUAACAUUUUUUUUUUUAUAAAUACAACCAUUUAAACUCUUGUAUUAAUAAGAAAAUAACUUCAGACAAUUCGUUUCGGAGAACAAAAUUCGACAUAAGACUUUAGAUUGCCAUAGCAGCCCUCAAUUGUAAUUUGACUUUUCAAUUUAACAUUUUCUUUAGAGAUGAUGUAAUGCUCUAAAAAUAUUAAACUUAAUUUUGAAAGACCUUUUUAACUUCGAUGAAAUGUAAUAUUUUCUAACAUUAGCUAUCGUCCCCCCCACAAUUAAGUAGUUAACGUUAAUUGUAACAUCACUUAGUCUGAUCAACUCUACAUUUACACAUCGAAGUGCCCCAUUUCACAUCUUUGCAAAGAGAAAUGCUAUUCAGACUGUCUCAACACAUGUGCAAGCAGCUCACACUUAACCAACAUCUCUGAUAUUUCUUCUUUAUUGUGCUACAAUGAAACUAAAAUCUUCAAACGGACAUUGCUGCGUUACUCGUGUUGAUUCUAAGCUUACUGAAGUUAUCAUGCCUCUAAACCCUAAACCCUUCUUCAGAUUGACCCAAUCAAGUACAAGAGCAUCACAUCCGGAUUCAAAGUUAUGCUCAAGGAGCAGGGCAUAAGAGGUUUCUUCAAAGGUUGGGCACCAACUUUUGUUGGUUACAGUGCUCAGGGAGCCGGCAAGUUCGGAUUCUACGAGUUCUUCAAGAAGUACUACUCAGACAUUGCUGGCCCCGAGUAUGCAGUCAAGUACAAAACAUUGAUCUACCUUGCAGGUUCUGCAUCAGCUGAAGUCAUUGCCGAUGUUGCCCUCUGUCCUAUGGAAGCCGUCAAAGUUCGUGUCCAAACUCAACCCGGUUUUGCCAGAGGCUUGGCUGAUGGCCUUCCCAAGAUCAUCAAAUCCGAAGGCGCUCUCGG